rnacentral:rRNA from 1 species
AUACGGAGGGUGCAAGCGUUGUUCGGAAUUACUGGGCGUAAAGCGCGCGUAGGUGGUCUGUUAUGUCAGAUGUGAAAGUCCACGGCUCAACCGUGGAAGUGCAUUUGAAACUGGCAGACUUGAGUACUGGAGGGGGUAGUGGAAUUCCCGGUGUAGAGGUGAAAUUCGUAGAUAGCGGGAGGAAUACCGGUGGCGAAGGCGACUACCUGGCCAGAUACUGACACUGAGGUGCGAAAGCGUGGGGAGCGAACAGGAUUAGAAACCCCAGUAGUCC